GCUCGAUUAGCUCAGUAGGUUAGAGCGCACGCCUAAUAAGCGUGAGGUCACGAGUUCGAUCCUCGUAUUGAGUA